GUGGGAUCAGUGGUGGGAUCCAUCGGUGCCGUGGUGGAUCCAUGGUGGCCGUUCCAGCAGCUGGAGGCGUUCGGGGGAGCCUUCCUCAACCGGUUCGUUUGUGCCACGCUGAACAAUCCGGUCCUGGAGAGCAUCACCCUGAUCGACACCCCCGGGAUCCUGGCGGGCACCAAGAACAGCAUCGGCCGGGGUUACGACUUCCCGGGGGUGCUGCGCUGGUUCCUACAAUGAAUUAUUUCAGAAUUAGGGUUGGAUUUGGGGUUCCCAUUGGGAUUUUGGAAUUAUUUCGGAAUUAGGGCAGAAUUUAGGAUUUCCAUUGGGAUUUUGGGCUCCAAUCCCCCAUUUUCCUCCAGGCUACGACUUCCUGGGGGUGCUGCGCUGGUUCUUGGGUU
rnacentral:lncRNA from 1 species